rnacentral:rRNA from 1 species
CCUACGGGUGGCAGCAGUGGGGAAUAUUGGACAAUGGGGGGAACCCUGAUCCAGCCAUGCCGCGUGUGUGAAGAAGGCCCUCGGGUUGUAAAGCACUUUCAGUGAGGAAGAACGCCUGGUGGUUAAUACCCAUCAGGAAAGACAUCACUCACAGAAGAAGCACCGGCUAACUCCGUGCCAGCAGCCGCGGUAAUACGGAGGGUGCGAGCGUUAAUCGGAAUUACUGGGCGUAAAGCGCGCGUAGGUGGCUUGAUAAGCCGGUUGUGAAAGCCCCGGGCUCAACCUGGGAACGGCAUCCGGAACUGUCAAGCUAGAGUGCAGGAGAGGAAGGUAGAAUUCCCGGUGUAGCGGUGAAAUGCGUAGAGAUCGGGAGGAAUACCAGUGGCGAAGGCGGCCUUCUGGACUGACACUGACACUGAGGUGCGAAAGCGUGGGUAACAAACAGGAUUAGAUACCCUGGUAGUC